rnacentral:lncRNA from 1 species
AUUUAUUUAUUUGGAUUAUGAAAUUCUUUUGAGAGAUCUUUCUUGUACUCCGCCUUUUCGACAUUAAUAAAUUAUUUGCUCCGUCUUCGCCCGUGGACGUAGGUCGUUGGCCGAACCACGUAAAUAUUGGUGUAUUCUUUCCGCUUAUCUUUUCGUUUUCUGCAUUAAGUUAUUUUCUGGAUCUAUUUUUCGCCGUUCCGAUUUUAACAAUAUCUAUAUAGUUCAGAUUAAAUUUUCACAUAAUUAAUUCUCUAAGCACUGUUAUAAGAAAGCCACCACUUAACCACCUCAAAUUCUAUGUAAACUUUGAAUAUUCAUCGCGAAUUCGAUCGAAUUGAGGAAAACGUCACGCUGAAAUUUUGAAAUGUGUUUUUGAAGUUGUAGGAGCGUUGGAUUGU